rnacentral:rRNA from 1 species
ACUAUCGUUAACUGAAUACAUAGGUUAACGAGGCGAACCGGGGGAACUGAAACAUCUAAGUACCCCGAGGAAAAGAAAUCAACCGAGAUUCCCCCAGUAGCGGCGAGCGAACGGGGAGCAGCCCGGAGUCUGAAUCAGCUUGUGUGUUAGUGGAACGGUCUGGAAAGUCCGACGGUACAGGGUGAUAGUCCCGUACACGAAAAUGCACAGGUUGUGAACUCGAAGAGUAGGGCGGGACACGUGGUAUCCUGUCUGAAUAUGGGGGGACCAUCCUCCAAGGCUAAAUACUCCUGACUGACCGAUAGUGAACCAGUACCGUGAGGGAAAGGCGAAAAGAACCCCGGCGAGGGGAGUGAAAAAGAACCUGAAACCGUGUACGUACAAGCAGUGGGAGCNGUGACUGCGUACCUUUUGUAUAAUGGGUCAGCGACUUAUAUUCUGUAGCAAGGUUAACCGUAUAGGGGAGCCGAAGGGAAACCGAGUCUUAACUGGGCGUUAAGUUGCAGGGUAUAGACCCGAAACCCGGUGAUCUAGCCAUGGGCAGGUUGAAGGUUGGGUAACACUAACUGGAGGACCGAACCGACUAAUGUUGAAAAAUUAGCGGAUGACCUGUGGCUGGGGGUGAAAGGCCAAUCAAACCGGGAGAUAGCUGGUUCUCCCCGAAAGCUAUUUAGGUAGCGCCUCGUGAACUCAUCUUCGGGGGUAGAGCACUGUUUCGGCUAGGGGGCCAUCCCGGCUUACCAACCCGAUGCAAACUACGAAUACCGAAGAAUGUUAUCACGGGAGACACACGGCGGGUGCUAACGUCCGUCGUGAAGAGGGAAACAACCCAGACCGCCAGCUAAGGUCCCAAAGUCAUGGUUAAGUGGGAAACGAUGUGGGAAGGCACAGACAGCCAGGAUGUUGGCUUAGAAGCAGCCAUCAUUUAAAGAAAGCGUAAUAGCUCACUGGUCGAGUCGGCCUGCGCGGAAGAUGUAACGGGGCUAAACCAUGCACCGAAGCUGCGGCAGCGACACUAUGUGUUGUUGGGUAGGGGAGCGUUCUGUAAGCCGUUGAAGGUGUGCUGUGAGGCAUGCUGGAGGUAUCAGAAGUGCGAAUGCUGACAUAAGUAACGAUAAAGCGGGUGAAAAGCCCGCUCGCCGGAAGACCAAGGGUUCCUGUCCAACGUUAAUCGGGGCAGGGUGAGUCGACCCCUAAGGCGAGGCCGAAAGGCGUAGUCGAUGGGAAACAGGUUAAUAUUCCUGUACUUGGUGUUACUGCGAAGGGGGGACGGAGAAGGCUAUGUCAGCCGGGCGACGGUUGUCCCGGUUUAAGCAUGUAGGCGGAGGUUCCAGGUAAAUCCGGUACCUUUUAACGCUGAGGUGUGAUGACGAGGCACUACGGUGCUGAAGUGAUAAAUGCCCUGCUUCCAGGAAAAGCCUCUAAGCAUCAGGUAACACGAAAUCGUACCCCAAACCGACACAGGUGGUCAGGUAGAGAAUACCAAGGCGCUUGAGAGAACUCGGGUGAAGGAACUAGGCAAAAUGGUGCCGUAACUUCGGGAGAAGGCACGCUGAUAUGUAGGUGAAGCCCCUGCGGGCGGAGCUGAAAUCAGUCGAAGAUACCAGCUGGCUGCAACUGUUUAUUAAAAACACAGCACUGUGCAAACACGAAAGUGGACGUAUACGGUGUGACGCCUGCCCGGUGCCGGAAGGUUAAUUGAUGGGGUUAGCGGCAACGCGAAGCUCUUGAUCGAAGCCCCGGUAAACGGCGGCCGUAACUAUAACGGUCCUAAGGUAGCGAAAUUCCUUGUCGGGUAAGUUCCGACCUGCACGAAUGGCGUAAUGAUGGCCAGGCUGUCUCCACCCGAGACUCAGUGAAAUUGAACUCGCUGUGAAGAUGCAGUGUACCCGCGGCAAGACGGAAAGACCCCGUGAACCUUUACUAUAGCUUGACACUGAACACUGGUCCUUGAUGUGUAGGAUAGGUGGGAGGCUUUGAAGCGUGGACGCCAGUCUGCGUGGAGCCAUCCUUGAAAUACCACCCUUUAAUGGCUGGUGUUCUAACGUAGACCCGUAAUCCGGGUUGCGGACAGUGUCUGGUGGGUAGUUUGACUGGGGCGGUCUCCUCCCAAAGAGUAACGGAGGAGCACGAAGGUUGGCUAAUCCUGGUCGGACAUCAGGAGGUUAGUGCAAUGGCAUAAGCCAGCUUGACUGCGAGCGUGACGGCGCGAGCAGGUGCGAAAGCAGGUCAUAGUGAUCCGGUGGUUCUGAAUGGAAGGGCCAUCGCUCAACGGAUAAAAGGUACUCCGGGGAUAACAGGCUGAUACCGCCCAAGAGUUCAUAUCGACGGCGGUGUUUGGCACCUCGAUGUCGGCUCAUCACAUCCUGGGGCUGAAGUAGGUCCCAAGGGUAUGGCUGUUCGCCAUUUAAAGUGGUACGCGAGCUGGGUUUAGAACGUCGUGAGACAGUUCGGUCCCUAUCUGCCGUGGGCGCUGGAGAAUUGAGGGGGGCUGCUCCUAGUACGAGAGGACCGGAGUGGACGCAUCACUGGUGUUCGGGUUGUCAUGCCAAUGGCACUGCCCGGUAGCUAAAUGCGGAAGAGAUAAGUGCUGAAAGCAUCUAAGCACGAAACUUGCCCCGAGAUGAGUUCU